rnacentral:rRNA from 1 species
AGCUGGUUCUCCCCGAAAUAGCUUUAGGGCUAGCGUCGAGGUAGAGAGUUGCGUGAAGGUAGAGCACUGAAUAUGUGAUGGCCCCAUCUCGGGGUACUGAGCAUAAUCAAACUGCGAAUGUCACGGAAACAUACUCGGCAGUCAGACAGCGGGUGAUAAGGUCCGUUGUCAAGAGGGAAACAGCCCAGACCAUCAGCUAAGGUCCCAAAAUGUAUGCUAAGUGGAAAAGGAUGUGGAGAUGUACAGACAACUAGGAGGUUGGCUCAGAAGCAGCCAUCCUUUAAAGAGUGCGUAACAGCUCACUAGUCGAAUGACUCUGCGCCGAUAAUUUACCGGGGCUAAGCAUACUACCGAAGCUAUGGAUCCCAAGGGAUGGUAGGGGAGCGUUCCAUGAACGGAGAAGCGCGAUCGAGAGGACGCGUGGAGAUCAUGGAAGAGAGAAUGCCGGUGUGAGUAGCGGAACGUGGGUGAGAAUCCCACGCACCGAAAACCCAAGGUUUCCAGAGGAAGGUUCGUCCGCUCUGGGUAAGUCGGGACCUAAGGCGAGGCCGAGAGGCGUAGUCGAUGGACAACAGGUAGAGAUUCCUGUACUCAUAUAUAUGUGAAGGAAUGACGGAGAGAGGAAGCUGCAGCCAGCGGCUGGAAGAGCUGGUGCAAGCGAGAUAUCGGGAUGGCAGGCAAAUCCACCAUCCGAAACGAGAAGGCGUGAAGCGUACGGAAAGCUAAGGCGAGUACGGAAGGCAGUGGAGGAGCUUCCAAGAAAAGUUUCUAACGAAAGUAUAUGUGACCCGUACCGAAAAUGGACACACAUGGGUGAGGAGAGAAUCCUAAGGUGAGCGAGAGAACUAUAGCUAAGGAACUCUGCAAAAUGACUCCGUAACUUAGGGAGAAGGAGUGCUCAUAGAGAUAUGAGCCGCAGUGAAACGGCCCAAGCGACUGUUUACCAAAAACACAGCUCUCUGCUAAGCCGCAAGGCGAAGUAUAGGGGGUGACGCCUGCCCGGUGCUGGAAGGUUAAGGGGAGGGGUUAACGCAAGUGAAGCCCUGAACUGAAGCCCCAGUAAACGGCGGCCGUAACUAUAACGGUCCUAAGGUAGCGAAAUUCCUUGUCAGGUAAGUUCUGACCCGCACGAAAGGCGUAACGAUUUGGGCGCUGUCUCAGCUGUAGACUCGGUGAAGUCUUAGUACCUGUGAAGAUGCAGGUUACCCGCGACUAGACGGAAAGACCCCAUGGAGCUUCACUGCAGGUUGAUAUUGGGAUUUGAUGCAGCAUGUACAGGAUAGGUAGGAGGCAAAGAGAUGGAUACGCCAGUAUUCAAGGAGCCGCUGUUGGGAUACUACCCCUGUUGUAUUGGAUUUCUAACCGGACGACGUAAAGCCGUUGACGGGACAGUGUCAGUCGGGCAGUUUGACUGGGGCGGUCGCCUCCCAAAGAGUAACGGAGGCGCCCAAAGAUACCCUCAGCUUGGAUGGAAACCAAGCGCAGAGUGCAAAGGCAAAAGGGUGUUUGACUGCGAGACCUACAAGUCGAGCAGGGACGAAAGUCGGGCUUAGUGAUCCGGCGGUGCUGAAUGGAAAGGCCGUCGCUCAACGGAUAAAAGCUACCCUGGGGAUAACAGGCUGAUCUCCCCCAA